ensembl:lncRNA
CUAACAGAGUAAUAAUCCGACCAGCCAGUUCAUUCUCUAUCCUCAUUAUUCCACUGAGGAGAUUAAUUUAAUCUUGGAUUGUAGUUGGAGCUGAGACUGAAACAAAAGAAACCCAUCCAUAUAACAUAUGGGAGACAGAAGACCCCUGGGCUCCGAGUUCCGGUGCACUGGUGGAAUCAUCCAGUAGAAGACAAAGAUAGCCAGUUCUCCAGCCAUUCAGCUGCAGGAACCAAAAAGAGAGCUCUGAGAUCAGGUGUUGAGAUGAUGGAGAGAGGGGGAUGCAACCACCACACCACUCUCCAUUGUUGACCAUCUAUGGAGGCUUGGCUGUAGCUUAGUUGGAGAUGGGGUUGAGGAGAGAGGGC